rnacentral:rRNA from 1 species
UACGGGGGGGGCAAGCGUUGUCCGGAAUUACUGGGCGUAAAGGGCGAGUAGGCGGCCAACUAAGUCCGACGUGAAAUCCCAAGGCUUAACCUUGGAACUGCGUCGGAUACUGGAUGGCUUGAAUUCGGGAGAGGGAUGCAGAAUUCCAGGUGUAGCGGUGAAAUGCGUAGAUAUCUGGAGGAAUACCGGUGGCGAAGGCGGCAUCCUGGACCGGUAUUGACGCUGAGGCGCGAAAGCUAGGGGAGCAAACGGG